rnacentral:rRNA from 1 species
UACGUAGGGGGCAAGCGUUGUCCGGAAUUAUUGGGCGUAAAGAGCGCGUAGGCGGUCCGAUAAGUCGGCUGUGAAAUCCCCAGGCUCAACCUGGGAACUGCGUCCGAUACUGGCAGGCUUGAAUCCGGGAGAGGGAUGUGGAAUUCCAGGUGUAGCGGUGAAAUGCGUAGAUAUCUGGAGGAACACCGGUGGCGAAGGCGGCAUCCUGGACCGGUAUUGACGCUGAGGCGCGAAAGCUAGGGGAGCAAACGGG